CCGACAGCAAGUGCCCAAGUGUGAACCAAAGUUGCGGGUGGUCGAGAAUUUUGUGUCAAUUCACAUUGACCCAUUAACUCUUUUGGCAAGAGGGGCCGACAGCAAGUGCCCAAGUGUGAACCAAAGGUUGCGUGUGGUCGAGAACUUUGUGUCAAUUCAAACGAAAAUGGGGGUGGCCGGGAGGCGAGGACAACAAGUGCCACAAGCGCCGGGCAAAGGUCGCCGGCAGCACCACCUGCGAACCUCCCGAGGGGCAAGCCGCACGUGCGAAGGCGUCGGUCGUUUCUUUUUGGCGGGAGUCCUCAAGGGGGAAACACCGGACAAAGACCCCUCACACGAUUUGACCCAUGAAAGUGGGUGGUUUAGGGUUUACUACGAGCACGCGCGACAUCACUUCCCCACACCCCCGUAACCUCGGCUGUACCCGAAUUCCCUUUAAGAAACGAGAAAAGAG
rnacentral:lncRNA from 1 species